ensembl:lncRNA
UUGAAUGGAUCUAUAUGAAGAUGAAAAUGAUAGCAUACAGGUUUGAAAUUACAAUAGAGUGAUUAAAUAAUGACAGAAUUUUCAUUUUUGGGCGAACUAUUUGUAGCGCCCCCUACCCUCUUCCUUGAUGGGCGGAGCACCGGGUCCUAAUAAUGUGUCUCUCGACUUAACUAAUUUACUUCCUUCCUGUUUUCCCCCAUGAUCACCCUACUUAAAUGAAAAUGUUCAGUGAUUAUCUUUCUGCAACACUAUUAUAUGAAAUAAAAAAAAGGUAAGUUCUUGUCAAUUAACAAGUGAUUUUAUUUAACAAAGACAGAUGAAAUAAUGAAAUAUUGUAAAAAAAAUAAUAAAAAUAAAUAAAUAAAAGAAUUAAAUGAAAUUCUUAAAUGUCUGUUGUGUAUUUCCUUUCACACAAAAUCACCUUUUAUCCUCCUAGAUCAGAAAGUCCAAUAUAAUACUCAAAUAUCAGUAUUCAAUUUUGUAUCUGCAAAAAAAUCUGUAAUAUAAUCCCCUUUGGAUCUAUAAUACAAUCUCAAAACUCAAAAUGCAGAAUACACUCAGGGUAAAUCAAUGAGCAAAUUAAACAACAAAUAUGUAAUGUGGGCCCACACUCACUCUUAGCUUCAAAAACCCCAACCUGUCGCAGGCCUGUGUCGUUGCUUGAGAACGGUGUGGCCGUGAAAACCAACAAAUGGCCUCUUCGCUCCAAAGAGCUAAAUAAACCAACAAAUGUACCUGUGUAUUCCCGUUUCGGCACACGCGCUGUCCACCGAUCACGUUAGACACUCCGUAUGUGUCUGUAGUCUCACCAGCUGUCCGCUGAAUGAUUACGAAUCCCGCGAUGCCAGAGGAAUUCUAAACCACGAGGGGAUUUAGAACGCUAUCUGGUUCCUCGUACUGUAGUCGUCUUCCUCGGAACGAUUUAUAAAACCAAAUUAAUAGUAAAAUGUGUCUUAUACACGGAUGCAACUUAUGUGUUUUUUCCUGACCUGGUGCAACUUAGCCCUAUAUUGUGCUGUAUUAUUAAACAAAUGUAUUAUUAAAAAAUGGGAACUAUUUAAAAGCCUUAAAAUCUGUUGUAAUUCUGAGGGUGUCUUUGAAAAAUCUUCUCUGCAAGGGAUCCCUGGCGCCAAAAUGUUGUAAAUGUCCAGUGCUAGUGGUCAGGCAUCCAUAUACAGCAAAGUCUGGUGUGGUAGGAGGAACUGUCCUGGUCGGCACAACAUCUAUCUGUCUUCAUGAACUGCCCUGAAACACAAAUUAAAUAUAAAUGAUUAUUAUAAAUAUAAAUAUAGCUUCACAAUGCUCAUUUGACCUCUGUGGUGAACAUAUGAUCAGAAAAUACUGCCAGACUGAUUUUUAGUCUUUAGGGAAUUAUUUCAAAGCGUAAUUUUUUUUUUUUUUUUUUUUUUUUUUUUUUUUAGCUACAGUAGAUAUCUUGCACUAAGUAGUAAUGUACACAUAGUUGAAUAGAAGAAGCAGAAAGUAUGUUUGUAUGUUUAUUAAAAAAGAAACCAGUUAUUUUAAAUUGUAAUAAAAUUUACAU